UAGGGAAUAUUGGUCAAUGGACGGAAGUCUGAACCAGCCAUCCCGCGUGCAGGAAGAAGGAUCUUUGGUCUGUAAACUGCUUUUCUCAAGGAAGAGAGAUAGAGAUUAAUCUUUAGAGGACGGUACUUGAGGAAUAAGCACCGGCUAACUCCGUGCCAGCAGCCGCGGUAAUACGGAGGGUGCAAGCGUUAUCCGGAUUUACUGGGUUUAAAGGGUCCGUAGGUGGUUUGAUAAGUCAGUGGUGAAAUUACCGAGCUUAACUUGGGAGCUGCCAUUGAUACUGUUAGACUUGAGUGCAGAUGAGGUUGGCGGAAUGGGGCAUGUAGCGGUGAAAUGCUUAGAUAUGCCUCGGAACACCGAAUGCGAAGGCAGCUGGCUAAACUGCAACUGACACUAAUGGACGAAAGCGUGGGUAGCGAACAGG
rnacentral:rRNA from 1 species